rnacentral:rRNA from 1 species
AGCUCCAAAAGCGUAUAUUAAAGUUGUUGCAGUUAAAAAGCUCGUAGUUGGAUUUCUGGGGUCGGAGCAUGGUCGCGCCGCAAGGCGUGCACUAUUUUUCGGCCCCUUUUGCUCGAAGGCCUGCGGUUCUCUUCAUUGGGUGCCGUAUGGAAUUCGGGACCUUUACUUUGAAAAAAUUAGAGUGUUCAAAGCAGGCUUACGCUUGAAUAUUACAGCAUGGAAUAAUGAAACAGGACUUUGGUUCUAUUUUGUUGGUUUCUAGGACUGAAGUAAUGAUUAAUAGGGGCGGUUGGGGGCAUUAGUAUUUAAUUGUCAGAGGUGAAAUUCUUGGAUUUAUGAAAGACUAACUACUGCGAAAGCAUUUGCCAAGGAUGUUUUCA